AUGGCAUAGGCGUCGUCGUUUUCAUGUGAUGGCCGAUUGUUGUGUUGAGUGGUUGUCAAAAGUUUUCCUAUUUUUCCAUGAAAAUUACCGAUGAAUUCAUAAGUAAAUUCAAGUUUGUUUCUGUGCAAUUUGUUUGUGAUGUGAUUUAUUCCGUUUGUUUUGCUGGAUCAAAUUCAAAAUUCCUCAAUAUAACCUGUUGGAAGGAACGGGAAAGGAAACAGUGCAUACAAGUAGCCUACCAUCACUAAUUCACUAUACCACCAACUCUUUUAUUAAAAAUCGUCGUUCUGCUGAAUGCAUCAUGCAGUUAAUACAGGUCACUACCCCAGUGUGGACGUUUGUUUUUCUGAACAUGUUUUUCAACAAAUAAUUCAUUGGCGUGCAAGGAAAGCUUAAAGCUUACCCAUGGGCAAUCUUCAGGUUAGCAGCAGCAGCUUAAGAGAAGAAUGUGAACAAAUGCAGGGCACAUACCAGCAUGUGCUGUAUUUUUCUUAAUGUUGAGCACGAGCAAUAGAUUCAACAUGACUAACUGUUUGAUGCCAAAGUUAGUUGGAAUUGGAACUCAACUCACUGUAUGUACUCUAACACAGAUAACUGGUGCUGUUGCCCUACAGCCACAGGCAGGAAAAUCAUUCUUUUUUUUUUUCAGAAAAUUGGAAAGCUGCUGGAGUAAUCUGGUGUUCAUGCUCAUUAAUUUCAUUUCGUGCCAGCUAGUGAAAGCCGAAAGGCAUGUCGAAUUCAAGUUGAGCUACUGCGUGUUGUCUCGAAGCAAGCAAUCCAGCCGUUGCGUUCAGUCAUUUGGAACAGGAAUCUAAUGGCUGUCAAUAGGUGGCUGUCAAAAGUUGGUUGGAAUGUCCACCAGGUAGCGCGAGUGUCUUCAGGGACGCAAUUGGGCCAUUUUGUUCCAAGACGCCCAGCAGAAAUGGUUGCUGGUCAUGACGUUUCUCACGAUGAAAAUUAAAAGGUGAUUUAGCACGUAGAAACCAAUUUGCCAAAUCAUUCAACUCAGACUUGGAAUUGCCUGUACAUUGCCGAAAUGGCGUGCCUCGUGUGUCUCUCUGCCUGUUCUUAGGCGUACGUCUCAUCCCAUGCAACAGCAAAAAGUAUAACAACCACACUUCUUAAACGCUGUUGGUUACCUUGUUGCAGCCAAAGGUGAAAGGUGUGACGAAGACAGAUUGAACCAUUGUAUGCAGCAUGCGGUUGCAGUGUAAUCCAGAAGUUGCUGUGCUGUUGUAGCUGAGCUGUUCCAUUCAUGACUUAAAAAUUUUUGUGUUUUCAUCCGUGUCUAUAUUUUGUGUUGCUGAGUUAUAAGUUUGAUCUGUUGUCUUUUGAGUUUUCAUUCAAUCAUGCAGUAUACGACUGAGGCAACCUGAUCAAUAUCAAGUUUGACACAGUUGAGAACUGCUAGAUUAAACAAACUUUCUGCUCCAAACAAAUAAUAACUUGCAUAUAACUUGCAUCAUGUUAUUAUCGCGGUAGAGAAAGCAACAGGCCCCCCCUCCUGGGGGCCACAGGAAAAAUAUGUGUAAAAUUAUAAAUGUUGUAUAAAUUUUUGUUAUAAAUAAAAUUUGUAUAUAAUAAAA
rnacentral:lncRNA from 1 species